AGGGGAACUAUCCUUAUGUUAAAUAUGAUAAAAUGAAGCGUCCGGACCAAUGAUUUUAACCCUCCUGAUCCAAAACUAUCAUAAAUCUAGCUGUUCAUAUCAAUUUUCCAAUUUUUUGUAUAUCCAAAUGAAAGAUCCGCUUGCUCCAGCCCUAGCUGGGUGAGGGGAUUCAAACAUCGAAAUCUAUUUAAUAUUUAAAGAAUGAGUUGUAAAGAAAAGACGGCCUAUACAUUUACAACAACUCUACUUUGAGUCUAUAGAAAUAUUUGUACUGUUGGACACUGUAUUUGAGUAGCAAUCCAGAAGCACUACGCUGUAGAAGUUUGAUAGAGAGACAAA
rnacentral:sRNA from 1 species